rnacentral:rRNA from 1 species
GAGUUUGAUCCUGGCUCAGAGUGAACGCUGGCGGCAGGCCUAACACAUGCAAGUCGAACGGCAGCGCAGCAGUAGCAAUACUGUGGGCGGCGAGUGGCGGACGGGUGAGGAAUACAUCGGAAUCUACCUUGUCGUGGGGGAUAACGUAGGGAAACUUACGCUAAUACCGCAUACGACCUACGGGUGAAAGCGGCGGACCGCAAGGCGUCGCGCGAUUGGAUGAGCCGAUGUCCGAUUAGCUAGUUGGCGGGGUAAAGGCCCACCAAGGCGACGAUCGGUAGCUGGUCUGAGAGGAUGAUCAGCCACACUGGAACUGAGGCACGGUCCAGACUCCUACGGGAGGCAGCAGUGGGGAAUAUUGGACAAUGGGCGCAAGCCUGAUCCAGCCAUGCCGCGUGUGUGAAGAAGGCCUUCGG